AUGGACUGUUAACUAUAGCUAAAGCCAGCGAGCCGCCGAUAUGGUCGUUGAGCUCAGAGGCGGCUCUGUAACUUGCUUGGUACUGAACCAAGAAUACUGCUACUAUGGCUGUCCCAAUUGGGAAUUUCUUUAUCCUGAAAUGUCUUCUAUUGUCUCUUCUACUAGCAGGUUUCUCUUCUGAAGGAAAUGUCUUACGAGUCACUUGCGGAAUCGAGCUAGCUUUGGAACUGGUGUUGUUUCCAGACGAGGGAAGAGCUGUGUUUGAUGGAGUCCAAUAAUCUUCUCCAAGCAUGUAAGCUGAUCCUUUUUCUUUAGUUUUCCCCCCGCUCUGUUCUGCUUGUUUCAUUGCUGCCACAGCAUCUUGAAGCUUUCUGAUAUCUGGAUCAACUGUUUUUUUUCGUUUGGUGAAAGUUAGACUCAUGUUUGAAUCUGGACUCAACGGUUUCGUGUACGGUGAUGAUCUCCAGUAUAGCCAAUUGGAAAUGGACCUUAUUGCCUCUACUGCACUUAUUUGUACUUCUCUCUGCAAGUAUUAAUAUAACUACUUAUUAUCUGACAGGUAAGUUUAUAACUUGGCUUUUACUACUUCUUACUUCUUAGGAUAAUGGAUAACUCACCUGGGAAGUUUCUUUCGUGGUUCGGCUCAUGGCUUUGGCGUAUCUUUCUUGGAACUUCUUGACAUCAACAAAUACAUUGGAGACACGCUCGCCAACCGUGUUUCCAACCCCGAUUCUCACGUUGCCUCGUGGUUGCUUUGACAUAAGGAACUCUAAUGGAGCAAGGUCAGAUCUCUCCACCAUUCUGCACAUCUCAUAAAGAAUCAUACUUUAUGUAUUUCUCUAAAUGUCUCUCUUGACUUCACAUAUUGAGAGGGAAUUGAAACAAAACCAUUACUACAUGUCUACAUCUACUAGUUAUGUGCUUACGAAAUGCAGUCGACAAGGCAAGCUUCGAUGGCUUCUUUGAUUUUGGAUUCAGGAUCAGCCCAUUGAGCAACAACCCUCGCUCUCCCGUAAGCAGUUUCAAUAGCAAAUGUUUUCUCUGCACACAAAGCACACUUUAAGCAACCAACACACUUAACCUCGUCAACAAAUGCAGCUCGUUGCUCUGUUUCUGGUCCACACCAAACCGAAUAGAUCGGUUUCCCUGUGUAUCCUCUGAGUUCUUCCAGUUUUGCUUGCUCCUACAACAAGAAAGUUUCAUAUUUACUUGGUGUGCCCUUGACAG
rnacentral:lncRNA from 1 species